AUGUUUUCAGAUCAUGUCUCUGACGCACAGGUGCAAACAUGUUCUUGUUUUCAUAUGUUUCGUUCAGCAUCUGUAGUCUCUGUCUGUGACAUCAGAGUGCAUACGAUCAAUUUCGGAUGCCGUCUUGAAUGGGAUUGCCCUGAUGCCAACCCUAAGACCACUUACACUGUACUGAGCAAGACACACAGUAAGUCAUGGAAAAAUGUUUCAGACUGCAUCCAAAUUUCUCGGCAAAGCUGUGAUCUGUCACGUGUCUUUCCGAACAUACACAUCUACAACGUCGUCCGACUGACAUCUGAACUUCUCUGGCUGAAUGAAACUCUGAACUGCACCCCUAUAACUGACUCUGCUGCCAAAUUCACCUCGCCCUCCAUAACCAUCUCCAUGGCCAAUGGGAGUCUCUGGGUGAGGGUAAAUUUUCCUUGUGCUCCAUCCAUAAGCUGUUCGUUGGAAGAUGAUGAUUAUGUGGAAGAGAAGGAGAUGGGAUGCUCCUGUCCCCUAACAGAGUUUAAAAGUCUCUGGGCCACAGUCACUCUAUACAACGAACAGAACCUCUCAGACAGACAGGCACACACUGCUAAAGUGAUGCAUGAAAACCCAUUCAAGGUGGAAUUUGGUUUUCUUACACCAGGGCAAGUGUACUGUGCUGUGGCCAACUUCACAGCUGAGGGUGUACUGACCUCUUCUCCCCCGAGCCUCCCGCAGUGUGUUUACAUACCAGCAAAGCGCGAAAGCCUCAUCGUCAUAACUGUGUGUGCUGUUCUCAUCGUUCUUGGCCUAGUAGUAUUUUUUCUGUUCUGGAGAAAGUUUGCCUCAUCUGAACAUCCGCUGCCCAGAUCUUUGGCUUUACUUCGAGACCUGGAACUUCAGAAUGAGACUUUCAUUGACUCCAGUAACGUGGCACCACAUAACGAGCACUCUGAGGGUGACCACGUUUCUGUUGUAUCCUUCUCUGACUUCACACUCAUGGACAAGCAGUCAUCUUACUACAACACCCAAAGCCUGGGCAAAGGCUGUUACACAAGCCCCAUCCUGCACAAUCCAGACUGCACUGAGGAAUCUGUGGGGUCUGAAGAGUUGAGCGCAGAAGUCCAACACGACGAGUGUCUUCUGUUAUCAUCACAUCCAAUUCUAGAGGCAGAGCUGGCAUGUCCAAAACAGAAUCAGUGUGAGGAGACUCCAGACAUCCCUCUGAGCUCAGUGCAAGUGAAACAUACUCAACAGGGCGAGACAUCAGCUGAACACCCAGAGCAGUGUGAAGAUGUCAUAUGGGGAAAACUGAGACCAAUAGAAGACAUCCAAGCCAACUGA
ensembl:lncRNA